rnacentral:rRNA from 1 species
UACAGAGGGUGCAAGCGUUAAUCGGAAUUACUGGGCGUAAAGCGUGCGUAGGCGGUAAAUUAAGUCUGAUGUGAAAUCCCCGAGCUUAACUUGGGAACUGCAUUAGAUACUGGUUUGCUAGAGUAAGGUAGAGGAAAGCGGAAUUCCAGGUGUAGCGGUGAAAUGCGUAGAUAUCUGGAGGAACACCGGUGGCGAAGGCGGCUUUCUGGACUUAUACUGACGCUGAGGCACGAAAGCGUGGGGAUCAAACAGG